UGGCCACUAUUACUGCUAUCAAUUUUUCUC
rnacentral:piRNA from 1 species